AUUGAACGCUGGCGGCAGGCCUAACACAUGCAAGUCGAGCGAGCGGCGGACGGGUGAGUAAUGUAUGGGGACUGCCCGAUAGCGGGGGAUAACUACUGGAAACGGUGGCUAAUACCGCAUACUAUUGGAUAACCCAUAUGGGAUUAGCUAGUUGGUGGGGUAAAGGCUCACCAAGGCGACGAUCAAUCGCUGGUCUGAGAGGAUGAACAGACACACUGGGACGUAGACACGGCCCAGACUCCUACGGAGGCAGCAGUGGGGAAUAGUGCACAAUGGGCGAAAGCCUGAUGCAGCCAUGCCGCGUGUAUGAAGAAGGCCUUAGGGUUGUAAAGUACUUUCGGCAGAGAGGCGUUAUCCGCAGAAGAAGCACCGGCUAACUCCGUGCCAGCCGCCGCGGUAAUUC
rnacentral:rRNA from 1 species